AAAACCACAACAGGUAGCGUGGGAGCUGCAGUGAACGAGGGGGGGCAGCAAGACAGAACUGUGGCUGAUGUGAGAAAGAAAUUGUCUGACCUUAAACUGCAAGGGAAAAGAAUGGCCCUACAUAAUCGCAGCAUUAAGGCACCGGGAGGGGGGCACGUCGGAGGUCUCCCAAAUGGUCGAGCGCAUCGGGUCAAUCACUGGGGAAAGCGCAUACACUGGCCCAUGCUCCGACGCAGUAACUUCGGAAACGGUUAAAUUGGCUUGCGAAACCACCACGACUGGAUCACGAAACGCUGGAAGCUGCUUUGCAGCCUGUGCGCCCUCCACCCAGAGAUAAAGACCGAGGGUAAGUUGACUUUAUAUUCACACAUUCAGACAUCCAAAAGCCAUUUUAAAAAAGUACAAAUGAAUAACUAAUUCACAGUUUGUCACAAACUAGGUAUGAUAUAUUCCAUAAAAUGUCUAGCAUUAUUUGAUCACUUUCGUUUUGAUUCGAUAGAGGGCAUGUAGUCCGUCUAGAGGGCGUGUGGUCGAAGUUUUAACGAGUCUGUUGUACCCUACUAGAAGGGACCUGGCAGAAAAUUCUGCUUCUUCAGUCAUUAAAUUAGAUUACAGGAAAAAACUACGCGAUGAAGGGGUCAGGACUGACUAACAAGGAAAGCGGAUGGACAGGUGGAUGGAUCAAGAUAACCAAGAGGAUCAACAAGGACAUUCCACAGAAGCAGAGUGGAGAUAAGGAAAACUAAGAGUGA
ensembl:lncRNA